ACCAAGCACGCACAUAGGGGAGUGUCUCAGGGACAAUCACAGUGCUGGCCCUGCCCUCCCUCAUUCAGCAGGGAAUCAGAAGUGGCUGAAAUUCCAGGCAGGGGUCUUGGACUUUGGAAGGGAUUUUCUUUGCUACAGCAUUGUUCAUGGUCUUCACUGGAACCCUGUGAGACAACCUUCAAUAGUGCUGUAGAACUCUAAGGAUGAGCUUCCUGAGUUACCCCAAAGAUGUUCUAAUGCAAAAAGCCAGCACGAGGAGGAGGAGUUCAAACAGCUAAGCCAGGGAAAAAGCAUCUCCAACCAGAAGGAAAAUAACACAAAAGAGGAAGCCACAAGAAUCCUAAAGGGCAUCAAUCCAAUAGAACUGGUGCUGGCUAAUGGCCAUAGCCCAGAUGGACUUGAUCAGUGCUGGACACGCGUACCACGUGUGCACUGCGAUGCCG